rnacentral:rRNA from 1 species
UGUGACCUCAAAUCAGGUAGGACUACCCGCUGAACUUAAGCAUAUCAAUAAGCGGAGGAAAAGAAACUAACAAGGAUUCCCCUAGUAACUGCGAGUGAAGCGGGAAAGCUCAAAUUUAAAAUCUGGCAGUCUUUGGCUGUCCGAGUUGUAAUCUAGAGAAGUGUUAUCCGCGCUGGACCGUGUACAAGUCUCCUGGAAUGGAGCGUCAUAGAGGGUGAGAAUCCCGUCUUUGACACGGACUACCAGGGCUUUGUGAUGCGCUCUCAAAGAGUCGAGUUGUUUGGGAAUGCAGCUCAAAAUGGGUGGUAAAUUCCAUCUAAAGCUAAAUAUUGGCGAGAGACCGAUAGCGAACAAGUACCGUGAGGGAAAGAUGAAAAGAACUUUGGAAAGAGAGUUAAACAGUACGUGAAAUUGCUGAAAGGGAAACGCUUGAAGUCAGUCGCGUCGUCCAGGGAUCAACCUUGCUUUUGCUUGGUGCACUUUCUGGUUGACGGGUCAGCAUCAAUUUUGACCAUUGGAAAAAGAUUAAGGGAAUGUGACAUCUUUGGAUGUGUUAUAGCCCUUGGUUGCAUACGAUGGUUGGGAUUGAGGAACUCAGCACGCCGCAAGGCCGGGUUUUUAACCACGUACGUGCUUAGGAUGCUGGCAUAAUGGCUUUAAUCGACCCGUCUUGAAACACGGACCAAGGAGUCUAACAUGCCUGCGAGUGUUUGGGUGGAAAACCCGAGCGCGUAAUGAAAGUGAAAGUUGAGAUCCCUGUCGUGGGGAGCAUCGACGCCCGGACCAGACCUUUUGUGACGGUUCCGCGGUAGAGCAUGUAUGUUGGGACCCGAAAGAUGGUGAACUAUGCCUGAAUAGGGUGAAGCCAGAGGAAACUCUGGUGGAGGCUCGUAGCGAUUCUGACGUGCAAAUCGAUCGUCAAAUUUGGGUAUAGGGGCGAAAGACUAAU